rfam:Fictibacillus macauensis ZFHKF-1 Contig20, whole genome shotgun sequence.
AAGGCGGUAUCCUAUGGAACUGCACUUUCAAUCGGGUAAUACAGAUUAUGGACAGCAUUCUGCCUAGAUCCGAAUAGGACCGGGACAGAGGG